CCUACGGGAGGCAGCAGUGAGGAAUAUUGGUCAAUGGACGCAAGUCUGAACCAGCCAUGCCGCGUGCAGGAAGACGGCUCUAUGAGUUGUAAACUGCUUUUGUACGAGGGUAAACGCAGAUACGCGUAUCUGUCUGAAAGUAUCGUACGAAUAAGGAUCGGCUAACUCCGUGCCAGCAGCCGCGGUAAUACGGAGGAUUCAAGCGUUAUCCGGAUUUAUUGGGUUUAAAGGGUGCGUAGGCGGUCGGAUAAGUUAGAGGUGAAAUCCCGAGGCUCAACUUCGGAAUUGCCUCUGAUACUGUUCGGCUAGAGAGUAGUUGCGGUAGGCGGAAUGUAUGGUGUAGCGGUGAAAUGCUUAGAGAUCGUACAGAACACCGAUUGCGAAGGCAGCUUACCAAGCUACUUCUGACGUUGAGGCACGAAAGCGUGGGGAGCGAACAGGAUUAGAUACCCCAGUAGUC
rnacentral:rRNA from 1 species